rnacentral:lncRNA from 1 species
GGACGUAUACCAAGAAUAACAUAAUUGAAAACCUUUGUAGGCAUCUUAUUCAACCAUACAUACGUGACAUUAACAUACCUUUUAAGUAGUUUUCGUUAUUAAAAACAUUAAACAGAUACAAUUGUGGUGUAAUAAUAGCUUUAUUUAAUACAUAUGGUUAAAUAUUGACCAACAGACCUUGAAUGCUUGCUGUAAACAACAAAAGAAAAUCAGGCAUUUUAUAUCAAAGCUGUUAUAUAUGGUCGUGUCAUUAUCUUAUAAAGUAAGUUGAUAUAAAUUUUAUCUUACAAGUAUUUGAGAAAACUCAAAAGUAUAUCUGCUGACCUGUUAACCAGUUUUUAUAAGAAAAAAAUAUUUACCCUGUGUAUCUAUUUAAUAGCCUAGGACAAGAGUACAACACAGUGAAAUAAGUCUCCUGCUUUACCAACUUUUGAUUUUAUGUUGAAAGUCUUAAACAUAAAGGUUUCAUGACAAGAAUUACAUAAACUUAAUAUUUCUAAAGAUCCAUGACAAUGAGGUCAAGGUCAGAAAAAUCCUCUCAGACAGACAUGACAUUCAUGUUACAAUUAUUCCAUACAUCAAAUAUAGUUAAUUAUAUUAUCAAUUAUGGUUAUUGAAAAACAGACCAUUACAAAAAAUUAACAUUGGCCAAUGAACCAUAAAAUUGAGGUCAAGGCCAGAUGAAACCUGACACACUGACAUGUACACCUUACAAACAUUCCAUACACGACAUUAAAGGGCCUACUGCUUAACGUCAUGAGAAAUAGACCUAUCACAUAUAACUUUAACCUUGAUCACUAAUUCCCUGAAAUGAUGUCUAGGGGAGGUGGAUCCUGUCUGACUGACAUGUAGACAUUGAUAGGAACCCAUAUACAAAACAUUGUUAUCGGGGAACUUAUCCUAUUACUCAUAAGUGAGAAAUUCACAUGACAAAGAAAUACCAACAUUUUGUUUCAACCAGUCGUUAAACCAUGAAAAUGAGGUCAAAGACAAUGAACAUAUGACAGACAAAAACUUUGUAACAUAAGGUUUCUGCAUGCAGGUCAUUAACCUUCUGAAAUAUAAUGCUUGAUAAAUAGUUUACAUGGUUGCUGCCACCACUGCAGCCGCUAAAUAGUAACACAUAUGUCUCAAAUACUGACGAGACAAACUAGAGGCUCUAAAGAGCCUGUGUCGCUCACCUUGGUCUAUGUGCAUAUUCAGCAAAGGACACAGAUGGAUUAAUGACAAAAUUGUGUUUUGGUGAUGAUGAUGUGUUUGUAGAUCUACUUUACUGAACCUUCUUCUUCUUACAAUUAUCUUCAAUCUUAAUGAACUUGGCCCAUUAGUUACAAGGAAAA